rnacentral:lncRNA from 1 species
CAAGCCUGGGCUUCUGCUCACGGGCCACGCCCACUGACCACAGGAAGGGGCCUCCCUUCUUAAAGCAGGGAGAAUAUCUGAGGCUAGUCCUGCAUCCUGGCCAGGAAUCCCAGGCCAACACCCUCCCCGCAAUCUUAGGCGCGUAGCAGCCCUGGCUGGUGACCCCUGGGUGGAGAGAGUACGGUAGUUUGCAAGAAAUCCAAGAAAGGCCUGGAGCUGCCUUCGUGUUCCGGAAGAAUUCACGUGCUAAUUUGUAGGCGGCCUGGCCAGAUGCUUCAGAGACUCCGGCAGCAUCGAAGGUGUGAUUUUAGAUCAGUGCUCCCGAGACCCUUGUGUUAUUUAAGAAGGUCAGUGUGCUUAAAUGCAUAAGAAGUAAUCUGUGUGUUAAAUGUAUGAGUUAACUGAGCAUAGCCGAAGUGAAAGUGAAUGUGUUUUCAUAUUAAAAUUAGAUUUAUAAAGAGAAUGCUAAAACUUGGUGGAUUUUGGAAUGCAAGGUCUAAGAA